rnacentral:misc_RNA from 1 species
CAACCCUUAAGCCCCAGUCGCUUAGUGUCGGGAGACUGCCGUAAAACGCAGCUCCUCAGAGUUAGCUGGCAGAGUUAGGUCAUACUCUAGGCGUAGUAAAUCUUUACAUCUCGCUUCUUUGUAGUUGGCCUGGCCCUCGCCAUUAAACACCCCAAUUUUUCUAU